GAAAGACACAGGGAUGCCCCAGUAGCGGCGAGUGAAGCGGCAAAAGCUCAGAUUUGGAAUCGCUUCGGCGAGUUGUGAAUUGCAGGUUGGCGCCUCUGCGGCGGCGGCGGUCCAAGUCCCUUGGAACAGGGCGCCAUUGAGGGUGAGAGCCCCGUGGGACCGUUUGCCUACGCUCUGAGGCCCUUCUGACGAGUCGAGUUGUUUGGGAAUGCAGCUCUAAGCGGGUGGUAAAUUCCAUCUAAGGCUAAAUACUGGCGAGAGACCGAUAGCGAACAAGUACUGUGAAGGAAAGAUGAAAAGCACUUUGAAAAGAGAGUGAAACAGCACGUGAAAUUGUUGAAAGGGAAGGGUAUUGCGCCCGACAUGGAGCGUGCGCACCGCUGCCCCUCGUGGGCGGCGCUCUGGGCGUGCUCUGGGCCAGCAUCGGUUUUUGCCGCGGGAGAAGGGCGGCGGGCAUGUAGCUCUUCGGAGUGUUAUAGCCUGCGCCGGCGCGCGAGCGGGGACCGAGGACUGCGACUUUUCUCGAUGCUGA
rnacentral:rRNA from 1 species